rnacentral:rRNA from 1 species
UACGUAGGGGGCAAGCGUUGUCCGGAUUUAUUGGGCGUAAAGAGCGUGUAGGCGGCCAGGUAGGUCUGCUGUGAAAACUCGAGGCUUAACCUCGAGCUGUCGGCGGAAACCAUCUGGCUAGAGUCCGGAAGAGGAGAAUGGAAUUCCCGGUGUAGCGGUGAAAUGCGCAGAUAUCGGGAAGAACACCCGUGGCGAAGGCGGUUCUCUGGGCCUUACCUGACGCUGAGGCGCGAAAGCUAGGGGAGCAAACAGG